rnacentral:rRNA from 1 species
UCUACGGCCACACCUAGGCGAAAACACCAGUUCCCGUCCGAUCACUGCAGUUAAGCGUCUGAGGGUCUCGUUAGUACUAUGGUUGGAGACAACAUGGGAAUCCGGGAUGCUGUUAGGC